ACCGGGUGCCGGGAGACCUGACACAUGUCACUGCUGCGGCCGCGCCGGCCGCGGCCAAACUUUCCCGCGGCGGCGGCAAGCUUAGAGAAACUCCAUUUCCUAUAUCCUACCAGUGGCUGUUGACACUAAGAAGGAAAUUCUCACUUCUAGUUUGUGGACAUGUCAAAAGAGAGAAACUCAUUUCCUCUGAAGCUCUAUGUCCCCUUUCCAGGCUAUCUUAUAAAAUGGAGAAUUAUGCUGCAGGCAAUAAACACUUUCAGCAUUC